rnacentral:lncRNA from 1 species
GCAAAUUAAAGGAGGCAAGUGUGCAGGAGAUCUCCAGCGAAGUACAAUUAUAGAUGUUCGCCAGGAUUCCACGCAGAGAGAGAAGUGUCGUCAGAUCGUGGAUCAUUGAAGGUGUCCGUCAAGAGCAUGGAUAAGGAAGUGUCGUCUGUCGUGGAUCUAAUAAGAGUCGGAAGGAAUUGUCCGUUGUAGAAUCGUCUAUGUAACAGUUCUCAUAAUUUGCAAUAAAUAAU